CCGUAGGUGAACCUGCGGAAGGAUCAUUGUCGAAACCUGCAUAGCAGAACGACCAGCGAACAUGUUUUCAUCGGCACAUAAACGAACCCCGGCGCGGACUGCGCCAAGGAACAUGAACUCAAAGUGCGCGCCUAUCCCGUGCCCGGUUUUCCGGUGCGUGGGUGUGGUGCCCUGUUUAACAAUAAACGACUCUCGGCAACGGAUAUCUCGGCUCUCGCAUCGAUGAAGAACGUAGCGAAAUGCGAUACUUGGUGUGAAUUGCAGAAUCCCGUGAACCAUCGAGUCUUUGAACGCAAGUUGCGCCCGAAGCUUUGGCUAAGGGCACGUCUGCCUGGGCGUCACGCAUCGCGUCUCCCCCACACCCACCUUGAGUGGGAGGGGAAGGAUGAUGGUCUCCCGUGCCUCACCGGGUGCGGUUGGCCUAAAUAAGGAGCCCAAGGCAUCGAGCUGCCGCGGCGAUAGGUGGCGCCGCGCAGCACUUUGCCGAAGGAGCUCGCAUGACCCUUUCAACCGUUGCGACCCCAGGUCAGGCGGGGCUACC
rnacentral:rRNA from 1 species